rnacentral:rRNA from 1 species
CGCUGACGAGUGGCGAACGGGUGAGUAAUACAUCGGAACGUGCCCAGUCGUGGGGGAUAACUACUCGAAAGAGUAGCUAAUACCGCAUACGAUCUGAGGAUGAAAGCGGGGGACCUUCGGGCCUCGCGCGAUUGGAGCGGCCGAUGGCAGAUUAGGUAGUUGGUGGGAUAAAAGCUUACCAAGCCGACGAUCUGUAGCUGGUCUGAGAGGACGACCAGCCACACUGGGACUGAGACACGGCCCAGACUCC